CUAUUGAUUCUUCCCUGGGGACCCUUAAGAACAAGCACAGAUUCACCAGUCUGUUCCGAGGGGUCUCUGGCAAUGCGUUUAACAUGAAUAGCAGAAGGCAACUCCAUGAAAGGAUCAGUGGUAAUCACCGCAAGCUUAUCACCGACAGAGAAAUCAACUGCCCUAGCAGGUGAAUCGAAAUUGAAGGAGAAGAGUUGCUGCCCAGUUUGUACAUUCCACAAUUUUGCCGUCUGAUCCGCACUUCCAGUGAUAAGACGCAUAGAAUCUCUGGAGACAUCACAGCACCAAACGGCACCAUUAUGACCACGAUAAGUUCCCAAUCGCUCGCCGUUGUCGGCGUACCAGACGGUGGGGUUGUGAUCCUUGGCGCAGGAGAAAAGAAGAUCGCCAUCCCUAUUGUACUUGAGGAAAGUUAAUGGCCGUUCAUGGCCUUUCAUCAAGAUUGGACGCAUUUUCGAUGAGGUUCAAAGCUAGAAUCUGCUCGUAGAAAAUAUAGAGCCGGUUGCGGACGUGCAGCUGCAGACCACGACAGACACCGGCGAUAGGAA
rnacentral:misc_RNA from 1 species